AGCUGGAAUCCUCUCAUGUCAAACACAUCACUGUACCCAGGUUUGCAAAGUGGCUCAGCAGGUGCUGGGGCAGCAAUCGUAGCUGCCUGUCACCCCAUUCCCUUUUCCAUGGGAACCCCUGUUCUGAACCAAGAAAACUGCCAUCCUCGAGUACUGGGAGAGAGGAGACAGAAGAGUGGGCAGAGAGGGCCAGGCCUUUUCUCCACCCUCCCCUCUAAAAUUCUGCAGUGAUCUCUCAGUUAGCCCUAGUGAUCUAUUUCACUGAAUGAUUUAUUUCCUCACAACAACCUGUAUGCCUUUGUGUUCUCCACCAGGAACCAAUUUGCUGAGAGGAUGAGACCGAGUGUCACAGGCUGAUCAAACAGACAUAGGAAGGUGACAGUACCGGGAACCUCAUCGAAAACAGGUGUUAAGUACAUGCUUGACACCAAGAAUAACAAAAGCAAAGAUGCAAGAGCUCUUUCCUAUGGGUUUUUCCUGAUCAGACUCUGCUAUUUGAAAGGGAUCUGGAAAGAAGUGAGCCAAGCUCACCUUUGUGAAGACUCGCCACCACUGCCAGUGCCGU
rnacentral:lncRNA from 1 species